AAUGAACGCUGGCGGCAGGCCUAACACAUGCAAGUCGAACGAAGCCUUCGGGCUUAGUGGCGGACGGGUGAGUAACGCGUGGGAACAUACCCAAAGGUACGGAAUAGCCUCGGGAAACUGGGAGUAAUACCGUAUGUGCCCUUUAGUUGUAGUGACUAGGGGGGAAGAUUUAUCGCCUUUGGAUUGGCCCGCGUUGGAUUAGGUAGUUGGUGGGGUAAUGGCCUACCAAGCCGACGAUCCAUAGCUGGUUUGAGAGGAUGAUCAGCCACACUGGGACUGAGACACGGCCCAGACUCCUACGGGAGGCAGCAGUGGGGAAUCUUAGACAAUGGGCGCAAGCCUGAUCUAGCCAUGCCGCGUGAUCGAUGAAGGCCUUAGGGUUGUAAAGAUCUUUCAGAUGGGAAGAUAAUGACGGUACCAUCAGAAGAAGCCCCGGCUAACUCCGUG
rnacentral:rRNA from 1 species